rnacentral:rRNA from 1 species
AGUUCAAGAGUACGUGAAACCGUUCAGGGGUAAACCUGAGAAACCCAAAAGUUCGAAAAGGGAGAUUCAUCGUCAACGAUUGCUGGCUCCCGGUGGCGCGCGAUGCCCCUCGUCUAAUGUACGCGUGGGCACGCCGCUCCGGCGAACGUUCCGGCGUCGCGGUCGUGCACUUCUCCCUUAGUAGGACGUCGCGACCCGUUGCGUGUCGGUCUACGGGCCGAGUGGGAGACUGUCGCGUUCACGCGCGACAACCCCUCGGAGCCCGACCGACUGCGCGACGGUAUUUGAAGACGGUAUAGGGCCGCAAAAAUUAUUUGCAUGCGUCCAGGCCCGCCGCAAGUUGUUACCAGUUCUCACCCGGAUCAACGGACUUUGCGCCGUUCCCGGGCCUGGUUAACUGUUGGCUGGAGCGGUGUCCUCGGACUGGCUUGAACGAAUACCUGUCAGCGACGCUAUUGCUUUGGGUACUCUCAGGACCCGUCUUGAAACACGGACCAAGGAGUCUAACAUGUGCGCGAGUCAUUGGGACUUGUUAAACCUAAAGGCGAAAUGAAAGUGAAAGUCGACCUUCGCGUCGACCCAGGGAGGAUGGGCCGUGUGCCAAUACGGCCUCGCACUCCCGGGGCGUCUCGUUCUCAUUGCGAGAGGAGGCGCACCUAGAGCGUACACGUUGGGACCCGAAAGAUGGUGAACUAA